ensembl:lncRNA
AAGGUUACUUUCCAAAAUGUUACUGUGUUGAGGAUUUCCAUAGAUACAAGCCUCCAUCACCAUCUCCAUAGAUCCAAGCCUCAAGAUACAUUUUUCUUGGUUCAUUUGCUUGGGUCCACCUGUCAACAAUGAGCACCUAGAGCCCAUUUCUCUAUAGAAUUAAAGUCUGGUCUCUGUCCUGAACAAACUACUUACACAGACACAUCUUCUCAUGCAGCAGAGUGUCAGAGACAGUUGGUACCAACGUGCUAAAGCAUCACAUCCCUGGAUUUGCAAAAUGAAUAAAGCUACCUAUCCAUCUCCUCUAAGUUUCUAAUCUGCUCAGGAGCAGAGGUGUCCAAAGGGAUCCAGAGAGACAGGUUUUGGAGAUCUCUGGAUCAAUUAUUGGAAGUUCACAAGGAAGAUAUAUCAAAAGAUCCCAGUCAAAUGCCAAAUACUAGAGAAGUUUGGUUAAUCAUCCUUGUCAUGGAGCCCAAUUCUGAUGUCUGUACUAAAUGCUACUUGCUGUGAAUAGGGGCAAUCUAAUCCAGUUUUUGGGUUAAAGUGAGGCCAGUCUUAAGUGAAAAGACCAUCACUGUCAUGCACGGUUGGUUCAGCCAAGCAGUUUGAGGAGUUCCCAUAAAUUUGUGACAGCCAAGAAUUAGAAGCCCUAAUCAGCCCCAGGGACAAUCCUGUUAUCUGAUGCCUUAGUUUGUAUACCUCUGUUAAAUUCAGUGGUUUCAGUUCAUAAGGGUGAAUGUUUCCAAUAUUUUCACUGAAAGAACUUGCAAAAAUUCAGGGUAAACUGUGACGUUUCCUUCACCCUCACAUCGAAAUUGCAGUAGCAUUAAAUGUUUAGAGUGUAUUCAGUAAAUUUAACCCCCUUUUCUUUUCAUAGAUUAUAUGCAGAUUGAUUUGUUUUGAUAUGCUAUUAUUUGGAAUUAUUCAGUAAGUGGUUCCUGCAGACAUGCUUCUGUCUAGGGAUUAACUAUGAGCUUCUAGGACCAUGGCGAUUUUAAUUUAUGUAUUGUGCUCAGAACAACAGAUGCCCAAUCUUGAGUACCACUAUUUAUAUGGGUGAUUGACUAUUGAUCUGAAUAUUUUCUGUGCUUUUAAUUUUUAUUUGUCCUGUGUGAUUGGUCAACUGUGUCUCAUUUUGGUGUUUUUUUUUUCCUUGUUGGAUACAUUCCCAAAUCCACAAAGCUUUCAGGAUAGGCUUACAGACUGUUUCAAUGUGAAUAACUGUACACAGCAAGAGUCAAUCUUCAGUUAUGUGAUCUGCAAAAAAAAUUGUUGAUUAAAAUAUCUUGGUUACUGAAUAGAAGGGAUCACACAUACCAUCCAACCUAAUUCACUAGUUUUAUUUGAAUAAAGAUUCCUAACAUUGUGUGUGUGUGUGUGUU